rnacentral:tRNA from 1 species
GGCUUUUAUGAUAGAUUACUUUGAAAGUAAUUGAAGGGCAAUAAAUUUGUCCAAAAGCUU